CCCUUGUAGGUUUGUGCGUGUGUGGAAAGAGAUAUCUUGAAGUUAUACUUCGCCAUAAAACUUAGCGCAUUGCGGUAUGAGAGAGAAGGAAUAAAUUAGCAUAAUUAUUUUUUGUGCUCUAAAUUCAGCAUUUUUUGUAUGUUUAGUGAAAAUACCAUUAUCUAACCUUAUUCAUGUGGCGCGGUCAGGCAGUGACUUCCUUGUUGUGGGAAUAAAAUCAAAAUGGUAGUUUCUGGUGUAAAUAAAGAGAAGCUAUAGAUUUUGUGGCUACAUACAUCUUCCAUAAUUCACACUCAGAAGUCUGACAGGUCAAACAGAAUCAUUCAAGCUAUAACUUACAACUGGUAAUACUUAGCCAGCAUUAGGAGAAAUAAUCUCUCUAUAGGUGAUCAAGUCGUGCACUUUCACUACCUGGUGGAUUAUAAUGUAAGUAAUCAAAUUUAUUAGUUUUAAUUACUACGAUUUGGGAAUAUCAUGUUCCUUAUAGCAUUACUAGCAUGUUUUUUAUUAUCUAGUUCAUGUUUUCUAUUUUAUCAAACAUGCCUUGUGGUAAAAACAUUUUGGAUAGCAUAGUCCUAGAGAUUUUCAAAAAGUGGGAGGAUUUUUUGUAGAUAUUUUAGUGGUUGAGUGAAACACAUGGGGAAAUUAUGUCAGAACUCACCUCAAAUUAAAUUUAUGUCUUGUUCCUUCAGAACAAUAGGUCUAAAAAGCAAACCUUGUAGCUAACUGUUAUGCUGUUUUGCAUAA